GAUGAACGCUGGCGGCGUGCCUAAUACAUGCCAGUCGAGCGAACGGACGAGAAGCUUGCUUCUCUGAUGUUAGCGGCGGACGGGUGAGUAACACGUGGAUAACCUACCUAUAAGACUGGGAUAACUUCGGGAAACCGGAGCUAAUACCGGAUAAUAUUUUGAACCGCAUGGUUCAAAAGUGAAAGACGGUCUUGCUGUCACUUAUAGAUGGAUCCGCGCUGCAUUAGCUAGUUGGUAAGGUAACGGCUUACCAAGGCAACGAUGCAUAGCCGACCUGCGAGGGUGAUCGGCCACACUGGAACUGAGACACGGUCCAGAGUCCUACGGGAGGCAGCAGUAGGGAAUCUUCCGCAAUGGGCGAAAGCCUGACGGAGCAACGCCGCGUGAGUGAUGAAGGUCUUCGGAUCGUAAAACUCUGUUAUUAGGGAAGAACAUAUGUGUAAGUAACUGUGCACAUCUUGACGGUACCUAAUCAGAAAGCCACGGCUAACUACGUG
rnacentral:rRNA from 1 species